ACCACCAGUAAGUUGAAUAAAUCUCAUAGGAAUUAGGAUAACGAAGCUAUCCCACUUUCAAAUCAGGUGAUCCCAAGUUUUCCUGUUUGGGAAUUUGACAACUUCUUAGUCAUUCUAAUCAAACCAGAAUGAAUCGCGUUGUAAGAAGCUUGAUUUUGAUACAAAAAGUAGUGGAGAAUCACCAUGAAAUUGAAUAAAUCUCAUAGGAGUUAGGAUGAAGAAGCUUUCCCACUUUCACACUAGGUUAUCCCCAGUUUUCCUUUCUGGGAAUAUGAUAAUUUCUUUGUCAUUCUAAUCAAACCAGGAUGAAUCGCGAUGUAAAAAGCUUGAUUUUGAUACAUAAAGUAGUGGAGAAUCACCAGGAAGUUUAAUAAAUCUCAUAGGAGUUAGGAUAAAGAAGCUAUCCCACUUUCAAAUCAGUUGAUCUCAGUUUUCCUGUUUGGGAAUAUGACAACUUCUUUGUCAUUCUAAACAAACCAGGAUUAAUCGUGAUGUAAGAAGCUUGAUUUUGAUACAUAAUUUAGUGGAGAAUCACCAGGAAGUUGAAUAAAUGUCAUAGGAGUUAGGAUGAAGAAGCAAUCCCACUUUCAAAUCAGGUGAUCCCAAGUUUUCCAGUUUCGGAAUAUGAAAACUACUUUGUCAUUCUAAUCAAACCAGAAUUAAUCGCGAUGUAUGAAGCUUGAGUUUGAUACAUAAAGUAGUGGAAAACCUCCAGGAAGUUGAAUAAAUCUCUUAGGAGUUAGGAUGCCGAAGAUAUCCUACUUUCAAAUAAGGUGAUCCUUAGUUCUCCUGUCUGGGAAUAUGACAACUUCUUUGUCAUUAUAAUCAAACCAGGAUGAAUCGCGAUGUAAGAAGCUUGAUUUUGAUACAUAAAGUGGUGGAGAA